CCUAAUACAUGCAAGUCGAACGAACUCUGGUAUUGAUUGGUGGUAUUGAUUGGUGCUUGCAUCAUGAUUUACAUUUGAGUGAGUGGCGAACUGGUGAGUAACACGUGGGAAACCUGCCCAGAAGCGGGGGAUAACACCUGGAAACAGAUGCUAAUACCGCAUAACAACUUGGACCGCAUGGUCCGAGCUUGAAAGAUGGCUUCGGCUAUCACUUUUGGAUGGUCCCGCGGCGUAUUAGCUAGAUGGUGGGGUAACGGCUCACCAUGGCAAUGAUACGUAGCCGACCUGAGAGGGUAAUCGGCCACAUUGGGACUGAGACACGGCCCAAACUCCUACGGGAGGCAGCAGUAGGGAAUCUUCCACAAUGGACGAAAGUCUGAUGGAGCAACGCCGCGUGAGUGAAGAAGGGUUUCGGCUCGUAAAACUCUGUUGUUAAAGAAGAACAUAUCUGAGAGUAACUGUUCAGGUAUUGACGGUAUUUAACCAGAAAGCCACGGCUAACUACGUGCCAGCAGCCGCGGUAAUACGUAGGUGGCAAGCGUUGUCCGGAUUUAUUGGGCGUAAAGCGAGCGCAGGCGGUUUUUUAAGUCUGAUGUGAAAGCCUUCGGCUCAACCGAAGAAGUGCAUCGGAAACUGGGAAACUUGAGUGCAGAAGAGGACAGUGGAACUCCAUGUGUAGCGGUGAAAUGCGUAGAUAUAUGGAAGAACACCAGUGGCGAAGGCGGCUGUCUGGUCUGCAACUGACGCUGAGGCUCGAAAGUAUGGGUAGCAAACAGGAUUAGAUACCCUGGUAGUCCAUACCGUAAACGAUGAAUGCUAAGUGUUGGAGGGUUUCCGCCCUUCAGUGCUGCAGCUAACGCAUUAAGCAUUCCGCCUGGGGAGUACGGCCGCAAGGCUGAAACUCAAAGGAAUUGACGGGGGCCCGCACAAGCGGUGGAGCAUGUGGUUUAAUUCGAAGCUACGCGAAGAACCUUACCAGGUCUUGACAUACUAUGCAAAUCUAAGAGAUUAGACGUUCCCUUCGGGGACAUGGAUACAGGUGGUGCAUGGUUGUCGUCAGCUCGUGUCGUGAGAUGUUGGGUUAAGUCCCGCAACGAGCGCAACCCUUAUUAUCAGUUGCCAGCAUUAAGUUGGGCACUCUGGUGAGACUGCCGGUGACAAACCGGAGGAAGGUGGGGAUGACGUCAAAUCAUCAUGCCCCUUAUGACCUGGGCUACACACGUGCUACAAUGGAUGGUACAACGAGUUGCGAACUCGCGAGAGUAAGCUAAUCUCUUAAAGCCAUUCUCAGUUCGGAUUGUAGGCUGCAACUCGCCUACAUGAAGUCGGAAUCGCUAGUAAUCGCGGAUCAGCAUGCCGCGGUGAAUACGUUCCCGGGCCUUGUACACACCGCCCGUCACACCAUGAGAGUUUGUAACACCCAAAGUCGGUGGGGUAACCUUUUAGGAACCAGCCGCCUAAGGUGGGACAGAUGAUUAGGGUGAU
rnacentral:rRNA from 2 species